AGCACAUACGACAGACUUUUCGGAGGGAAGAUGUUUGUGACUGAGUGGCGGACGGGUGAGUAACGCGUGGGUAACCUGCCUUGCAGAGGGGGACAACAGUUGGAAACGACUGCUAAUACCGCAUAAUAGAUCAAGACCGCAUGAUCAUGAUCUUAAAGAUUUAUCGCUGCAAGAUGGACCCGCGUCUGAUUAGCUAGUUGGUGGGGUAACGGCCUACCAAGGCAACGAUCAGUAGCCGGCUUGAGAGAGUGAACGGCCACAUUGGGACUGAGACACGGCCCAGACUCCUACGGGAGGCAGCAGUGGGGAAUAUUGCACAAUGGGGGAAACCCUGAUGCAGCGACGCCGCGUGAGUGAAGAAGUAUUUCGGUAUGUAAAGCUCUAUCAGCAGGGAAGAUAAUGACGGUACCUGACUAAGAAGCCCCGGCUAACUACGUGCCAGCAGCCGCGGUAAUACGUAGGGGGCAAGCGUUAUCCGGAUUUACUGGGUGUAAAGGGAGCGUAGGUGGCAAGGCAAGUCAGAUGUGAAAACCCGGGGCUCAACCCCGGGACUGCAUUUGAAACUGUCUAGCUAGAGUGCAGGAGAGGUAAGUGGAAUUCCUAGUGUAGCGGUGAAAUGCAUAGAUAUUAGGAGGAACACCAGUGGCGAAGGCGGCUUACUGGAC
rnacentral:rRNA from 1 species